UACGGAGGGUGCAAGCGUUACUCGGAAUCAUUGGGCGUAAAGGGCGCGUAGGCGGCCAAGUAAGUCAGGUGUGAAAGCCCGGGGCUCAACCUCGGAAGUGCAUUUGAUACUGCUUGGCUUGAGUAUGGGAGAGGGAAGUGGAAUUCCUGGUGUAGAGGUGAAAUUCGUAGAUAUCAGGAGGAACACCGGUGGCGAAGGCGACUUCCUGGACCAAUACUGACGCUGAGGCGCGAAGGCGUGGGGAGCAAACAGG
rnacentral:rRNA from 1 species